GAUGAAGAACGUAGCGAAAUGCGAUAAGUAGUGUGAAUUGCAGAAUUCAGUGAAUCAUCGAAUCUUUGAACGCACAUUGCGCCCCUUGGUAUUCCGAGGGGCAUGCCUGUUCGAGCGUCAUUAUAACCCCUCAAGCUCAGCUUGGUGUUGGGGCCUGCUGCACUGGCAGCCCUUAAAAUCAGUGGCGGCGCCAUCUGGCUCUAAGCGUAGUAAUUCUUCUCGCUAUGGAGUCCUGGUGGAUGCUUGCCAUCAACCCCCAAUUUUUCUAUGGUUGACCUCGGAUCAGGUAGGGAUACCCGCUGAACUUAAGCAUAUCAAUAAGCGGAGGA
rnacentral:misc_RNA from 1 species